GCUUCUUUUCUACUCCACAGGAACAUCAACGGCAUCACUUUUACUAGUUCCAUUAAGGAAAAAUCGGCCGCUCGAAGUCAGUAUGCCAAGGCGAGGGCCAAAGGCAAAGCUGCUGCGAUCCUCUGGAGCAAUGCUUUUGACAUGGAGAACUUCAAAGCCGAACUCAACGUCCCAAGCGGAACCAAAGUCCAGUUUGAAAUUCAUUACCAAGAGGCCAUCCGGAGGAAAUUAUCAACCUAUGAACAUAUUAUCCCGGUGCAGCCAGGGAGGCUGGCCAAGCAUUUGGAGGUUAAAAAAAAGAAGAAAUGGCUGGAAAUGAUUGAUGUGAAAUGUGACUUUUAGCCGCUAAAAAUUUCCUCCGACUGUUUGUAUCAAAGAUUCAUCAGGCUCUACGGGCCUACAGGCAGUCCUCGACUUACAACAGUUCAUUUAUUGACCGUUCAAAGUUACAACGGCACUGAAAAAUGUGGUUUAAGUUACGACCGUUUUUCCACACCUAAGACCUUUGCAGCAUCCCCAUGAUUCUGUGAUCAAAAUUCAGAUGCUUGGCAACUGGUUCAUACUUAUGACCGUUGCUAUGUCAUGUCAUCCCCUUUUGCGACCUGUGACACGCAAAGUCAACAGGGAAACCAGAUUCUCUUCACAUCCGGGGUACUAAGUUAUCAAUGGCAGCGAUUCACAUAACAACUCUGCCAAGAAAAGUUGUAAAAUGGGGCGAAACUCACUUCCCAAGUGUCUCACUUAACAACAGAGGUUUUGUGCUCAAUUGUGAGUCGUAAGUCGAGGACUGCCUGUAAUAAGUACUCCUUGCUUAACAACCUAUCACUUAGCAAGCAUUUGAAGUCAUGAUGGAUACCCCUGAAAGCUAUUUACAACCUGGUCCUGGAGUUCCAAUGGUGGCACACACACACACACACACACACACACACACACACACAAGUGUGCUUGACAGCUGCUUCACUUUUACAUCUAAUUGCAGUAUUUUGUAAUCAUGUGAUGCAAUUUGCAAUAAUUUGACUUAUCAGCCAGUUUCUGGCAAAAAAAAUGCCCAGAGAAUUAAAUGGACUCAUUUAAUGAGUGUGAUGUUUACUUAACAACCAACACAUUCAGGUGACGACCGUGAUGUUCACUGAACAACUGCUGCAAAAAAUAAGGUGGUAAAAUCAGCAUCGAACGCCUGGCAGCGGGCAGAGUUUGUCUGCAGUACUUCAUUCUAAUUACUGUGCCACUAGGGUUCGUUCUUUCUUUCUUUCUUUCUUUCUUUCUUUCUUUCUUUCUUUCUUUCUUUCUUUCUUUCUUUCUUUCUUUCUUUCUUUCUU
ensembl:lncRNA